UCAAUUGUUGAAGUGGCAUCAUCAAGAUUCACAUGGCGGUGGUUAAUUUAGAUAGUUAAAUUAAUUGUGUCGAAAACAUGAGAAUCUUGAUGAUGCUGCAUCAGCAAUCAA
rnacentral:pre_miRNA from 1 species